rnacentral:rRNA from 1 species
CUACGGGAGGCUGCAGUGGGGAAUAUUGCACAAUGGGGGAAACCCUGAUGCAGCAACGCCGCGUGGAGGAUGACACAUUUCGGUGCGUAAACUCCUUUUAUAGGUCAAGAUAAUGACGGUAGCCUAUGAAUAAGCGCCGGCUAACUCCGUGCCAGCAGCCGCGGUAAUACGGAGGGCGCAAGCGUUACUCGGAAUCACUGGGCGUAAAGAGCAUGUAGGCGGGUUAAUAAGUCAGAAGUGAAAUCCAAUAGCUCAACUAUUGAACUGCUUUUGAAACUGUUAACCUAGAGUGUGGGAGAGGUAGAUGGAAUUUCUGGUGUAGGGGUAAAACCCGUAGAGAUCAGAAGGAAUACCGAUUGCGAAGGCGAUCUACUGGAACAUUACUGACGCUGAGAUGCGAAAGCGUGGGGAGUAAACACGAUUAGAUACCCCGGUAGUC